AGUCCUGUGGUGAGUACCACAUUGAAUUGCAAAUUCAAAGAAGCAGCUUCAAUUCUGCCGGGACUU
rnacentral:tRNA from 1 species